rnacentral:rRNA from 1 species
CAGCCGCCGCGGUAAUACGAAGGGUGCAAGCGUUAAUCGGAAUUACUGGGCGUAAAGCGUGCGUAGGCGGUUUGUUAAGUCUGUUGUGAAAUCCCCGGGCUCAACCUGGGAAUGGCAAUGGAUACUGGCAAGCUAGAGUGUGUCAGAGGAUGGUGGAAUUCCCGGUGUAGCGGUGAAAUGCGUAGAGACCGGGAGGAAUAUCAGUGGCGAAGGCGGCCAUCUGGGACAACACUGACGCUGAGGCACGAAAGCGUGGGUAGCAAACAGGAUUAGAUACCCGAGUAGUCCCUGUCUCUUAUAA